rnacentral:rRNA from 1 species
AAUCAACGCUGGCGGCGUGCCUCAGACAUGCAAGUCGAACGAUUAAAGCUCUCUUCGGAGAGUGUAUAGAGUGGCGCACGGGUGAGUAACACGUAAGUAAUCUACCUUUGAGUGGGGAAUAACCCGGGGAAACCCGAGCUAAUACCGCAUAAUGCAGCGGCACCGCAAGGUGACAGUUGUUAAAGGAGCAAUCCGCUUAAAGAGGAGCUUGCGGCAGAUUAGCUAGUUGGUAAGGUAAUGGCUUACCAAGGCUACGAUCUGUAACCGGUCUAAGAGGACGGUCGGUCACACUGACACUGAAUAACGGGUCAGACUCCUACGGGAGGCAGCAGUCGGGAAUUUUGGGCAAUGGGCGAAAGCCUGACCCAGCAACGCCGCGUGAA